UACGGGGGGGGGCAAGCGUUGUUCGGAAUUACUGGGCGUAAAGGGCUCGUAGGUGGCCAACUAAGUCAGACGUGAAAUCCCUCGGCUUAACCGGGGAACUGCGUCUGAUACUGGAUGGCUUGAGUUUGGGAGAGGGACGCGGAAUUCCAGGUGUAGCGGUAAAAUGCGCAGAUAUCAGGAGGAACACCGAUGGCGAAGGCAGGUCUCUGGGCCGAUACUGACGCUGAGGAGCGAAAGCGUGGGGAGCGAACAGG
rnacentral:rRNA from 1 species